rnacentral:rRNA from 1 species
GUGGUUCCAAGAAAAGCCUCUAAGCUUCAGUCAUACGAGACCGUACCGCAAACCGACACAGGUGGGCGAGAUGAGUAUUCUAAGGCGCUUGAGAGAACUCGGGAGAAGGAACUCGGCAAAUUGGUACCGUAACUUCGGGAUAAGGUACGCCCUAGUAGUUUGACCACUUUACUGUGGAAGGAUGAACGGGUUGCAAUAAAAUGGUGGCUGCGACUGUUUAAUAAAAACACAGCACUCUGCAAACACGAAAGUGGACGUAUAGGGUGUGACGCCUGCCCGGUGCUGGAAGAUUAAAUGAUGGGGUGCAAGCUCUUGAUUGAAGUCCCAGUAAACGGCGGCCGUAACAAUAACGGUCCUAAGGUAGCGAAAUUCCUUGUCGGGUAAGUUCCGACCUGCACGAAUGGCG